GUCAUUGCUGAUCCAUCGCCUCUUUGUAAGACAAGGGAGGAAAGUCCGGGCAGCGCAGUGCAUCUUGCUUCCUAACAGGAAGGAUCCCGUUUAUUCGGGAGACAGCGAGUGCCACAGAAAAUAACUAUCCGCCGAAGAGGCGGAAAAGGUGAAAAUGUGAGGUAAGAGCUCACGGUGAUCAUUAGCGAUAGUGGUCACGGGUAAACCUCAGGAGCUGAAAGACCAAAUAAGUCAUGGUACAAGGGCUGCACGUCCGUACUCCUUCGGGAAACCAUGAUGGGUAGGUCGAUAGAGGUAAUGUGCGAACAUUAUCCCAGAUAAAUGAUGGAUCCUGCAUUCGUAGGAACAGAACCCGGCUUACCAUUCAAUGACACGA
rnacentral:RNase_P_RNA from 1 species